UACGUAGGGUGCGAGCGUUUGUCCGGAAUUACUGGGCGUAAAGAGCUCGUAGGUGGUUUGUCGCGUUGUCCGUGAAAACUCACAACUCAAUUGUGGGCGUGCGGGCGAUACGGGCAGACUGGAGUACUGCAGGGGGAGACUGGAAUUCCUGGUGUAGCGGUGGAAUGCGCAGAUAUCAGGAGGAACACCGGUGGCGAAGGCGGGUCUCUGGGGCAGUAACUGACGCUGAGGAGCGAAAGCGUGGGGAGCGAACAGG
rnacentral:rRNA from 1 species